CACGCCGUAAACGAUGGAUACUAGGUGUAGGAGGUAUCGACCCCUUCUGUGCCGGAGUUAACACAAUAAGUAUCCCACCUGGGGAGUACGAUCGCAAGAUUAAAACUCAAAGGAAUUGACGGGGGCCCGCACAAGCAGUGGAGUAUGUGGUUUAAUUCGAAGCAACGCGAAGAACCUUACCAGGGCUUGACAUCCCUUGCAAGCUGUAGAGAUACAGUGUCCCUUCGGGGCAAGGAGACAGGUGG
rnacentral:rRNA from 1 species